GAUGAACGCUGGCGGCGUGCCUAAUACAUGCAAGUCGAACGAGUUCUCGUUGAUGAUCGGUGCUUGCACCGAGAUUCAACAUGGAACGAGUGGCGGACGGGUGAGUAACACGUGGGUAACCUGCCCUUAAGUGGGGGAUAACAUUUGGAAACAGAUGCUAAUACCGCAUAGAUCCAAGAACCGCAUGGUUCUUGGCUGAAAGAUGGCGUAAGCUAUCGCUUUUGGAUGGACCCGCGGCGUAUUAGCUAGUUGGUGAGGUAAUGGCUCACCAAGGCGAUGAUACGUAGCCGAACUGAGAGGUUGAUCGGCCACAUUGGGACUGAGACACGGCCCAAACUCCUACGGGAGGCAGCAGUAGGGAAUCUUCCACAAUGGACGCAAGUCUGAUGGAGCAACGCCGCGUGAGUGAAGAAGGCUUUCGGGUCGUAAAACUCUGUUGUUGGAGAAGAAUGGUCGGCAGAGUAACUGUUGUCGGCGUGACGGUAUCCAACCAGAAAGCCACGGCUAACUACGUGCCAGCAGCCGCGGUAAUACGUAGGUGGCAAGCGUUAUCCGGAUUUAUUGGGCGUAAAGCGAGCGCAGGCGGUUUUUUAAGUCUGAUGUGAAAGCCCUCGGCUUAACCGAGGAAGCGCAUCGGAAACUGGGAAACUUGAGUGCAGAAGAGGACAGUGGAACUCCAUGUGUAGCGGUGAAAUGCGUAGAUAUAUGGAAGAACACCAGUGGCGAAGGCGGCUGCCUGGUCUGUAACUGACGCUGAGGCUCGAAAGCAUGGGUAGCGAACAGGAUUAGAUACCCUGGUAGUCCAUGCCGUAAACGAUGAAUGCUAGGCGUUGGAGGGUUUCCGCCCUUCAGUGCCGCAGCUAACGCAUUAAGCAUUCCGCCUGGGGAGUACGACCGCAAGGUUGAAACUCAAAGGAAUUGACGGGGGCCCGCACAAGCGGUGGAGCAUGUGGUUUAAUUCGAAGCGACGCGAAGAACCUUACCAGGUCUUGACAUCUUUUGAUCACCUGAGAGAUCAGGUUUCCCCUUCGGGGGCAAAAUGACAGGUGGUGCAUGGUUGUCGUCAGCUCGUGUCGUGAGAUGUUGGGUUAAGUCCCGCAACGAGCGCAACCCUUAUGACUAGUUGCCAGCAUUUAGUUGGGCACUCUAGUAAGACUGCCGGUGACAAACCGGAGGAAGGUGGGGAUGACGUCAAAUCAUCAUGCCCCUUAUGACCUGGGCUACACACGUGCUACAAUGGAUGGUAUAACGAGUUGCGAGACCGCGAGGUCAAGCUAAUCUCUUAAAGCCAUUCUCAGUUCGGACUGUAGGCUGCAACUCGCCUACACGAAGUCGGAAUCGCUAGUAAUCGCGGAUCAGCACGCCGCGGUGAAUACGUUCCCGGGCCUUGUACACACCGCCCGUCACACCAUGAGAGUUUGUAACACCCGAAGCCGGUGGCGUAACCCUUUUAGGGAGCGAGCCGUCUAAGGUGGGACAAAUGAUUAGGGUG
rnacentral:rRNA from 1 species